GGAGUAUAGCUCAGUGGUGGAGCACGUGCUUAGCAUGCACAAGGUCCUGGGUUCAAUCCCUGUACCUCCA
rnacentral:tRNA from 1 species